rnacentral:rRNA from 1 species
AUGAAAGGUGUACUGGGGAUAAUAAAUGAGUCAUUGAAUGAAAGACAUCUCGGUUUACCAUUGGAUGUUGGACAUGAGAAGAAUGGAACUUUCUCGUAUAUCAAAGAACGGAUAUGGAGGCGUGUACAAGGAUGGAUGGAGAAGAUGCUACCAGGCAGCGGCAAAGAGGUCCUAAUCAAGUCUAUUGUGCAAGCCAUUUGUACAUAUUCCAUGUCAAUGUUCAAAUUACCAAGGGGCCUGUGCAAGUGUAUUAUGUCGAUGAUCCGGAAAUUUCGGUGGGGCAGCAAAGGGGGUGAACGGAAAACGGCAUGGGUAUCUUGGGAUUCCAUGCGCAUGCCGAAAUACAUAGGAGGUCUAGGCUUCCGUGACAUGGAGCUUUUCAACCUCUCGUUGCUAGCCAGGCAGGCAUGGAGAAUAUUGCAAGAUCAAGAAUCACUGAGUUCAUAG